UGGGGAAUUUUGCACAAUGGGGGAAACCCUGAUGCAGCGACGCCGCGUGAUUUAGAAGGCCUUCGGGUUGUAAAAAUCUUUUCUAUGGGAAGAAAAUGACAGUACCAUAGGAAUAAGGACCGGCUAAUUACGUGCCAGCAGCCGCGGUAAUACGUAAGGUCCGAGCGUUGUCCGGAAUCAUUGGGCGUAAAGGGUACGUAGGCGGGUAAGCAAGUUAGAAGUGAAAUCCUAUAGCUCAACUAUAGUAAGCUUUUAAAACUGCUCAUCUUGAGGUAUGGAAGGGAAAGUGAAAUUCCAUGUGUAGCGGUGAAAUGCGCAGAGAUUAGGAGGAAUACCGGUGGCGAAGGCGACUUUCUGGCCAUAACCUUACGCUGAGGUACGAAAGCGUGGGUAGCAAACAGG
rnacentral:rRNA from 1 species